UUACUAUGAUGACCAUUUAGGACACCUUUGUAUUAACCAUGAAACAACUUUUUUUUUUUAAUCUGAGCUAU